AGGCCUUUUUAAAAGGGCUUUGAAUGGGUAUGCUUAAUGCAUGAGUGUGUGUAUGCUUCGUGCAUUUUGUUUAGGCAUUCUGCCACAUUGUUUGAUUUGAUGUUUUAGGCGUUUGUUGCCAAAAAGUGUUGAUUUAAGACUUUUAGCCAAAAAAGAAUGAUUUAGGCAAUUUGUUGCCGAAAAUUGAUUGAUUAGGCGUUUG
rnacentral:lncRNA from 1 species